UGCUGAAAGAGAGGGGGCGAGAGAAAAUAAGAAGAUAACUGUGGACGAGUGUUUGAGUGGCACGGUGCGAAAUAGCACUGUACAGAAAAAAAAAAGAAGAGGAAAAAACGGAGAGAUUACAGGAGAUGACACAUUGGAGAUGGACGGCAAAAAAAUAGAGCGAGAGACACCGAGUGAAAAGGAAUGGAGAGAGGGAGUGUGUGAGCUUCAGACAGAGCGGCGCUGCCUCAGCCUUGGGGCCUGUCUGGGUGCAGAGCCUAAUUAAAAAGCCUUGCACAUUCACACAGUGCCAUAAAACCGCUGGGAGAGAUGAAAGAGAAGGCCCCGCCACAAGGUAUACUGUAACCUUAACACAACAGCUGUCAGAGAGAUGGGAAGAGAUAGAGAAUGCAACGAGAAAGAGGGGGCAGACAGUGGACGGGAACGAGAGGCGCUCUGAGGAGGAUGUGCUCGUUUCAGGCAUGAACAGAUUGACGACUCAGAUUCCAAGGGCUUAAGAAACAAAACUGCGUUCCUGACAAGAAGAGAGGGAGGGGUCGUGGAGAGGAGACAGGUUGGCUGCAGGAGCGAAAUAAAAGAAUGUACAGUAUUCUGUCUCUCUUCCUCAUUCUUAGCCCCUACUCCCCUUUGAUUGUCUUGCUACAAAGUUUCUGGGAGACAACACGUACGCACUUAGAAACACGGCGCAAACAAACAUCCGAGUACAUUUCUAGCUUCGACUGAAAUAGUUUUCCAUUCAGACGACAGCAGAACUCUUUUCUUGUUCUUUGCCUCACAGGUUUUACAUUCAAUAAGUUGGUGGGUCGACGUUUAAAGUUCUCACCAUAGCAUUCGCUCACUGUCCUCAUUCUUUACUUGUCAUCUUUUAUCACAGCUCAUCUUCCUGCAGUAACCCUUUUCUUUUUAAUUGGCUUUAAAAUCUGUCACUUUGGAUAUAAAGUCAAAAUUAUACAUGACUUACAUAAAAUCAACAGAACUGAUUCAGGCUUAAGCUUCUGUUUUGGUCAUUUCCACCAUCUCCUAAGAUUGUGAAAAGUUUCGAAACUCAUCUCAAAACAUAGUUUAAUCCGAGUGGCGCCACACAGAAAGUACCUGCUUGUCAUUAUCUUUCCAGUGAUAGUAGGAUACGAAGCUUCUUGCACGUCUGAGCAAAAGAACCAUACCUCAAUAGAGUGCAAUAAAGUAAUACUGGAGGACCUGAACUCUGUUAUCAGAACUCUGCAAGACCGAGCUGCAAAACAUUAAUUUUAAAUUGUGCAAGACAUCAAAUAUUUCGUCACCUUCCUAAAAUAACAACCAAAGUGAUUUUCUGCCAAAAGUGAUUUUUAUUUUUUGCCCAAAUCAUUUUUUGGCAAAAAAAAGAUGUGGUGAUUUUCUUUUUUUUGUCAAAAUCACGUUAGGCAAAAAAUGAUAUAGGUCAUAAUUUUAGGAAG